rnacentral:lncRNA from 1 species
AAAAAUCUUCUAGGAGCAGCUAACAAGAAUCCUAAUACAGGAGUGUUUAUGGUUGGGUUGAGACACAUUCAGUAGCUGAGUGAUUGACAGCAAGAGGAGCAAGACAUGAGGUUAAUAAUUAUCAAAUAUAUGGCAAUGCUGGACUUUAGCUGAUCAUCGUGCUUCUGGAAAACAACAAAAAUUGAGAUAUCUGUUCACCACUUUGUGUGUCCAAGGACCACCUACUUUUUACAUGUGACAAGAACUACCCACCUCCACUCUUCAGGAUAGAACAUGCUGAAGAAAAGAGUUGCAAUGAGAAAAUAUAUGGGAACAAAAUACCUAUGCAAUGCAGAAGUCUGCAUAACUGAACCACUCAGAGGAAAAAGUUUCCCUCCCAGGCUGGAGUACAAUGGCGCGACCUCGGCUCACUGCAACUUCCACCUCCCAGUUCAAGCAAUUCUCCCACCUCAGCUUCCUUAGUAGCUGGGAUUACAAGUGCCUGACACCAGGCCAAGCUAUUUUUGUAUUUUUAGUAGAGACGGGGUUUCACCAUUUUGACCAGGCUGGUCUCAAACUCCUGACCUCAGUCCAUCGGUCCACCUCGGCCUCCCAAAGUGCUGGGAUUGCAGGCAUGAGCCACCGCUCCUGGCCUCAAGUUUAAUUCUUAAAUUGCCAUUUCAGGACACCUCCUACAUCUGAGGAAAUAUGCAUUGAUCUUGCAGUACUUUUCUCCUCCAAAUAAAAGCACUGCCAUUCACAUUGCUAGGUUAAAAAUCAAAGAAGUUAACAUUGUUUAACAAAUACACUGGGCCGGGCGUGGUGGCUCACGCCUGUAACCCCAGCACUUUGGGAAGCUGAGGUGGGCAGAUCACCUGAGGUCAGGAGUUCGAGACCAGCUUGACCAAUAUGAUGAAACCUCGUCUCUGCUAAAAAUACAAAAAU